AUAAGCUCUAUAUUACAGAUCUACAAAGCUGCCUCGGGUCAAAAAAUCAACUUGGAUAAAUCUACCAUUGUCUUCAGCACCAACACUGAUUCAAGAGUGAGAGAUAGCAUUACUCGUUUUCUCAAUAUCAGAGAAGUUCAUGCAUAUGACAAAUAUCUUUGGUCUUCCCACGAUUAUUGGUUAUUCCAAAAGUGAAGUUUUUGCAUCUAUUCGAGAUAGAAUCUGGCAAAAAAUUAGUGGUUGGAAUGAGCAGCAGCUUUCUAGGGCAGGAAAGGAAAUAAUGUUGAAGUCUGCGGUUCAGGCUAGUCCUACUUAUUCAAUGUCAUGUUUCAAAUUUCUAGAUUCCUUGUUAUCAAAUAUCCAAUCAAUGAUGACAAAAUUUUUGUGGGGUGAUGUAAUAAGGAAAAACCUAUUCAUUGGAUAAGUUGGGACGAACUCUGUAAAAAGGGGGGGGGGGAAGAAGGGGAAUCGGAUUCAAACAACUUCGGGCCUUCAAUUCAGCUUUGCUUGCUAAGCAAGCUUAAAGGAUUGCUACACAGCCAUCCUCCCUUUUACAUCAAAUUUUUAAGGCCUAAUAUUUUCCUAACUCUAAUUUCUUUUUGGUAGGAUUAGGGUCUCGACCCUCAUUUACUUGGAGAGGGAUAUAUGAAGCACGUAAAUAACUGGUUGCGGGAAGCAAAUGGAGGGUUGAUAAUGGAAGAAGUAUCCAGAUUUGGAAAGAUCGCUAGCUACCUGGACCUCGUUCGGAUAGGUUGCCUGAAAAUACUACAGUGGAUUACCUAAUUAAUAGCGAUAGAAAAACUUGGAAUCAAGAUCUAUUACACUAGUUAUUCUAGCCAGAUGAGAUAGAAUUGAUUAAGAGUAUUCCAAUUGGUGAUACUCAUAAUCAAGAUAAACUCGUAUGGCACUUUACAAAAAAUGGAUUUUUCAUUGUUCGAAGUGCUUACCAUCUAAUGAAGCAACAAUCCGGUAAAUGGCAAGACAUAGCUUCUGGGAGCAACAGAAUUGCAAAAAGAAUCUGGAAACGGUUAUGGAACUUAACCUUGCCAGGAAGCAAACAGGAAUCCAAUGACUACUGAGCAUACAACUGCAAUUCAACAAUCUGGUUUGUCCCAAUGGAAGAGACCUCCCACAGGUUAUGUCAAAGCUAACUUUGAUGGGCUGUCUAUGCUGGUGGUGACAUGUCAGGUAUUGGAGUUGUUAUUAGAGAUGCUGAGGAUAAUUUCGUGGCAGGAUUAACCAAACAAAUUUCAGAAAUUUUUGCUCCAAAGGUCAUUGAAUCUUAUGCUGCAAAGGCCACAGUCAAGUUGUUGUUGGAUCUACAUUAACGCAUGAUUAUUCUUGAAAGUGAUUGUCUGAAGUUAUUAAAACGAUUCAAACUACAGAGACGGAUGCAUCAGCUUGUGGAAUACUUGUAGAUGAUAUUCUCAUAGAUAUACAAAGCUUUGCAACCUGGGAAGCAUCAUGGAUGCCUAGAAAGUUGAACAACGCAGCACAUUAUUUUGCUAAAUAUGCUUGUUCUAUUUCUAAUUGUUGUAUAUAGAGGGACUUCCCCCCAGAUUUUAUUGUUACCGCACUUGCUGCGGAUAUUAUCUCAGAUUAAUAAUAUUUUAGCACUUUUCUAUCAAAAAAUAUAAAAAAAAAGUGUAACAGGAUAUCAAUUUUUUAGACAAGAAAUUAAUAACGUGGAACAAAUAGCAUCAAUUUAACAUUGUAAGGCCCAGUCAUAAUAAAAGUGCCAAUUAUUUAAAAAGUGGAGUGCACCAACGUCAUUGUUCCUAUACUACUACGAAAUUCCGAGGUUGUUUGGGAUAUAGUAACUAACUCCAAUUCUUUCAAGUUCCAAAUUUUAGAAUCGUUCUCAUUGAUCAAAAAAAUAUACAUAUAAAGAUUUCACCUACAAAACAAAAGGAAAUGAGUUGAUCCUAGCUCCUGGUUUAUGUGUGUGUAUAUAUAUUUUAAGUUAGGAGGUGGAGAAGGGGGUAUUUUUAUAGUGAGGAUAAACAAAUAAAUAAAUGAUCUAGAGAAAAAAAAUGCAGCCAU